rnacentral:rRNA from 1 species
GAUGAACGCUGGCGGCGUGCCUAAUACAUGCAAGUCGAGCGAAUGGAUUAAGAGCUUGCUCUUAUGAAGUUAGCGGCGGACGGGUGAGUAACACGUGGGUAACCUGCCCAUAAGACUGGGAUAACUCCGGGAAACCGGGGCUAAUACCGGAUAACAUUUUGAACCGCAUGGUUCGAAAUUGAAAGGCGGCUUCGGCUGUCACUUAUGGAUGGACCCGCGUCGCAUUAGCUAGUUGGUGAGGUAACGGCUCACCAAGGGAACGAUGGGUAGCCGACCUGAGAGGGGGAUCGGCCACACUGGGACUGAGACACGGCCCAGACUCCUACGGGAGGCAGAAGUAGGGAAUCUUCCGCAAUGGACGAAAGUCUGACGGAGCAACGCCGCGUGAGUGAUGAAGGCUUUCGGGUCGUAAAACUCUGUUGUUAGGGAAGAACAAGUGCUAGUUGAAUAAGCAGGCACCUUGACGGUACCUAACCAGAAAGCCACGGCUAACUACGUGCCAGCCGCCGCGGUAA